rnacentral:lncRNA from 1 species
AAUGUAUGUGACGAAAACAACAAAAAUAGGGAAAAGGAAUCACCUUUUUUUGACUUGUAAAUCUUUCUUUUUUUUAUUCGUAAAAAAAAGUUACAUUCAUGAUUCAGGGCUUUAUAGCCGAAUACAAAAGGUUUUUAGUCUACUGUUUCUAUUACUACUCUUUGUUGUUUUUUAUGUCCUCUUUUAUGCUUGUUUGCAAGCGCUGACGAAGGAGAAAAGUGAUGGGACAGGGCAGAGGUGUUGGUGGUGGCAGACCUUGGGCGUUGGAGGCGCUGACAAUGUACGUGGGGGGUAGAGAGGCGCGGCGCCUAAGGUUGCAGAAACCCUAAGAUUUCUGAUUUGGUUUAGGUUCUUGGGCCUUUUCGGCCCCAUAGGUUUGAGCUUAAUUUUGUAAUUGGGUUGUUUUAAUUUUUAUUUGGGCUAUGUGUAAUGGACUAUUAAUGGACUGUUUGAUAUAUUGGGCCCGGGCCGGGAAAAAUAGGCCUAUUAUAGCUGCCUCUCUUUGCUCGUUGUCGUGUAACGAUAAUGGAGCAAAAACCAUAAAAGGGCCGAUUUUGCCUGGACCUACUAAGUCUCGACUUCUUUUGAUGCUUCUUUCCUUCAAGUAGCUUCAUUCCAAUCCACUGCAUCCUCAGAGGUAUAGGAACUGUUGCUUUGAUCCACUCCACUGCGACUACUCAUAGCUUUAACCUGUUCCACUGUAACUUCAGGGAGAUAAGGUUUGUGGCUUAAAAUUGUAGCUUGAUCUGCUCUAUUGCAACUUCAAGGAGAUAAGAUCUGCUUUCUUCAGUCUGCUCCACUGCAACCUCAGGGAUAUAAGACUUGUAACUUCAACUUGUCCCACUACAACUUCAGGGAGAUAAGGUUUGUAACUUCAAUUGCUCCAAUGCCAUUUUAGGGAGAAAAGAUUUGUAGCUUCGAUCUACUCCGAUGGAACUUCAAGGAGAUAAAAAUUGUAGCUUCGAGCCGUUCCAAUGCCAUUUCAAGGAGAAGAGAUUUGUAGCUUCAAUCUACUCCACUGGAACUUCAAGGAGAUACGAAUUGUGGCUUCGAACCGCUCCAAUGUCAUUUCAGGGAGAAGAAAUUUGUAGUUUCGAUCUACUCCACUGGAACUUUAAAGAGAUAAAAAUUAUUGAUUUCAACCUGCUCCACUACUACUUAGGGAGAUAGGAUGGUGGCUUAAAUCUACUCCACUACUGCUUAGGGAGAUAAGAUUUGUUAUCUUUGAUCUGUUCCACUACUGCUUAGGGAGACAAGAUCUACAAUAUUCAACCUACUCCACUACUGCUUAAGGAGAUAAGAUGGUGGCUUAAAUCUGCUCCACUGCUGCUUAGGGAGACAAGAUUCACCAUCUUCAAUCUGCUCCACUACUGCUUAGGGAGAUAAGAUCUGUAAUCUUUAGCCUACUCCACUACUGCUUAGAGAGAUGGGAUGAUGGCUUAAAUCUGCUCCACUACUGCUUAGGGAGACAAGAUUCACCAUCUUCAAUCUGCUCUACUACUGUUAUGGAAGAUAAGAUCUGUAAUCUUCAGCCUACUCCACUACUGUUUAGGGAGAUAGGAUGGUAGCUUAAAUCUGCUCCACUUUUGCUUAGGGAGACAAGAUUCGCGGUCUUCGAUCUUCUCUACUACUGCUUAGGGAGAUAAGAUCUGUGAAUUCACCGAUGUUGCUACACCGUUCUCUAGGGACAUGAUCUAUAGAAUUGGUUUCAUGUACCUAUGCUUAUGCCAAAUGAUUAGGAUGUUAUGAUCGAUAUGAAUCAAAUGCUCCUAACUAGAUGUGUUAUGAAUGAUCUAUGAAUGCAGAAAUGAGAAUGAUCCUUUUUUAAAUGCUUAAGGUAUCAUCGCCCGUUGUUCAUCAGGGCAUUAUCACUGGCGUAUUACGCUGCCAUCUUGUUCGGCUAGUAUUCUUGACAAAAAACCCUAAGAAACAAUCACAUUCUGUUCAGCAAGCUUGCCCCGCUGUAAUUUCAGAGUCCCUUCCACUAUACCUUCUAGGACAUAAAGUUUGUACGUCCCACUACAACUUCAGGGGAAUAACAUUUAGUUUCAUCCAUCCAUCCUGCUGCAACUCAGAGGUUUAGGAUUUGUCUCAUCUUCAAUCAAUUUGAUUUGUUACACCAUUCCCUAGAUGUAAUGACCAGAUGUAUAUGUCUGAUAUCUGUAUAAAUGCAGAGUAUCAUUUUUUUCCCGAGAAUGAUCCCUUUUUACACUUGGAUUGACAUUGCUCGUUAUUUGUCGAGGUUGUAUCGCCGAUGAAAUGUUUUGUCUUUUUAUUCAACCAAUAUCUUUAACAGAAAGCCCGAAAAAAUAAUCACGAUUUAGGCUAUUCUUUCUCAAACAUUUCCAUCCCUGAGGUUUGGUGAGUUCUAAACAAUAGUCCUAUUUCAGGUUCUUGUAUUAUUUAGGAGUUUCCAGAGUAAUAUGCGAAACUCUUUUUAUGAAAGUAUUAUUAGUCCACUAAUCGUUAUUUUAAUGCAACAUGCUUCAAAAAGAUCAUAACAAUGGCCGGAAGGAAAUUAAUUAGGAGCAUAACUCGAACCAAGUAAGUUAAUCAAGGAUAGCAAAUACAAUUAAGAAUGAAAUUUAUUAGGACGUAUCUUGAAAAGAAUAAGGUAAUCAAAGAUAGCCAAUUCAAAAUGGGUAACAGGGAAAACUAGGUACCCCAGAUAUCUCAGCUUGAGCUUCUCUGUACCAACUUUUUGAAGACUAUUUUGAGCUCAAUCUGUGUUUAAGGGAUCCGAAGUACUUUGUCGAUGCCCCAAGACGUAGCAUACUUCUUCUUUGUUAAUUCAGACAUAGCAAGACUACUGUAUGCCACACUUUAAUCCACAUUUGAGCAGCCCUUUUUGGGUUUUCAACUCAAAUCCCCUUUGGUCUCAAUGCGCCCUUUGCGGGUUUUCACCUCGGCCUCUCCUUUUUCUCUUUUUUUUUGUGAAGUAUUUUUUAUUGAAUAUAAAUUCACAAGAUCAGGAAGGUUCUUGCCAUCACCUUGGUCAGUAUCGACGCUCUUUUAGAAAAGGCCUUCUUUACCACAUAAGGUCCUUUCCAGUUUGGCUUACAGUUUCCUUUGAAGUCCUUUUUGUAUAGAAAAGACUUUUUUUAAUACUAGGUUUCCCCUUUUGAGGUGAACCUUUUUGUUAUUUACUCAUGGUGGAUAGCUUUCAACCUAUCACAUCAGAAUUGGAUCCAUUCGAUUUCGUCUAACUUCGGCUCUAACAAGACUCAGAGAAAAGGAAUCUCGACUUAAAUGGAAAAAACCGCUUCCAUUCCAUAAACUAAUGAGAAAUGCAUUGCCCCAACGAAGAUCUUGGCUGACGUUUAAUAAGCAUAAAGGGUAAAUGGUAACUUCUUUAUGCCAAUCUUUACAAGUCUCGAUUAUCUUCCACGAUCUUUUUUUUACUGCAUUUGCUGCACUGUGAUGUGGUGUCUGAUUUGCAAACUUUUGACAUUGUGAGGUUGUGCAUUGUUAGACAUGAUCUUUUUUGGCAUUCUUUGCCGAACACUUGAUCUCUUUCCCUCAUUUUUAUUAUUUUUUUUUGAAUUUGAUAACUGUCGACCUUGUAACAUUGGCAUAUGAAGCUACAUUCACCCUCUUAGUGAAGUAAUUAACGACCACAAGGAUGAAUCGGUGUUGGCCAGAAGCUUUUGACAAGAUCAGCCCCAUAACCUUUAUUCCCCACAUAGAGAAUAUAUACGAAAAAAUGAAAGGGCACAUGAAUUUUGUCUCCAUAAAUUUGGCAUUUAUGGCAUAACUAAUGCAAGUCCCUUCUACGGUGGACCAGUAGAAUCCAAAUCCCAUGAUUAGCCUGGCCAUUAGCAUGUGUCUUUCUGACACGCUUAGGGACCUCUUUUAACAGCAUCCACAGGUCUUAGUAUCCCAAGUAUAUCUUGAUAUGGAUGCUUCAUUUUGCCUUUGUGGUGAUGCAUACUUUGAUCAUUGCCUUUUUCUCUUCUCUUAGGCCUACUUUUCAUUGACUCUUUGUAAGGUAAGAUAUGCUUUUCAUCUUGUUCUACCAUUCUUAACAAAUCAGGAGAUAGGUUACCAUCUCUGUCAUCUUUAAAGUGCUGAGAUCCCUUUAGGCCCAUAUUUCGCUCAAAAGGGGAUUUGGAGUCAGUGACAGCGUCGCUCACGUCAUUGAUAUCUGGGGACCUGUUGUUGGUACGAAGGAAGAUUACAAAGAAUAAAUAAUUCUAAGGAUGAUUAUUUGUAUGAUAUGAUCAUGAAUGAAGAAUAAAAUAAUAUUUGAAAGAAAGUCCAAAGAACAAAAGAAUCUAAGAACAAUUAUUUGUACAGUAUGAAAUGAAAAAAAGAUAAAGGAAUAUUAGUUCAAAAAGAUACAUUUUAUUGAAAUAAAGAUUUUGAACACAAGCCUAUUUCACAAAAGGAUUCUUAUUGCCUCUAGGCUUAAAGCAACAAGCGUGUUCUGAAUAUUACUCUAAAUUAGCUCUAAAAAUACAGGAAUCUCUUCCACAGCCCCACUGUUCAAAACAUUCCCAAGUACGUGAGGGCAGAAGCUUGGAAAAGGCUAUUCCCCAGUUCCCUAUUUGGAUAUGUCCUUAAUGUUUAGAUUCCCCAACAUUCCCACCAGGCCUUUAAUCCCUUCAAUUUCUUUAUUAUCCAUCAGGCCUUGUACUAGGGUCCUGAGCUCGACGCAUCCUUGGAUUUCAUACCCAUAUCCAUCAUGGAACUCAUAAUGUUUACCCCUUUAAUAGAAAGGUUGGGUAACAGAUUUUCUGCACCAGAGGGAUCAUCGAAUUUUACGAUACCCACAUUGAUGAGUCUUUUGAUCAUUUUUUUAAAAGCGACGCAGCUCUUGAUCGAAUGCCCUGUAAUUCCCCUAUGGUAUUCACAUUGGCCACUUGCAUCGUACCAUUUAGGGUAUGAAGGCUGUAUUGGUUCUACGUAGAAAGGGGAUACAACAUGUGCGUCAAACAAAAUUUGGUAUAACUCCCCAUACGUGAUUGGGAUGAGCGCAAACUGGGUUUUUUCUAAGUUCGGUCUUGGAUUGGGUUCUUGCCUUGAGGAGACCUGAUGCCUGGUAGUUAUCGUCCUUGGCUGGCUUACUGUAAUCUACUCCGAAUAGCCCUUGUUAUACCUACUCGUACUAUUCGCUUCUUUUUUUUCUUUUUUGGGGCCUUUAAAGUCCACUCUCUCAUUUCUUUUGUUUCUACCAGAACAACAGGUUUGGCUUGAUCAUCCUUCGGUUUAAAACCUGAACCCAUCGAGAAGUUCAAUAGUAUCGAAGUACCAGUCUGAUAUUGGGGUCUGAUAAUGACGGGUACCCCUGUGGAUACGCGUCUGGUCGAGUCAGGACGCUUAUUGGGGUAAAACCUAGGGAAUAGAUGAGGUUUUCAUUUAUCAUCCCUAUUGUUGACCACUGGGCCACUCCUUUUUUUAAUUUCUUCAGCCAGUAACUAGAUUAACUGGCCCAUCAUAUUCAUUUGUUCCCGCAUAUCUUGUUGAAUUUUGGUCAAUUGCUCUUGCAUCUGUAUUUGCAUUUGCUCUAUUCUCUCCAACCUUUGGUCCAUAUCCUUUGUCAAUUCUGAAAUAAUUUUACCUAAUUAGGGUCCUUCUGGGAAAAUCUAAUACAUAUGAUAAAAUGCAAUGCAAAUACAUGAGAUGCAUGCAAAAAGAAAGAGAGGCGUUGAUUCUGAAUUCAAUUCCAUUAGAACAACUUUUCUAGAAAACAAAUUUCCUUACAUAAAACGGACUACAUAUGCGGCUUUGCCCUCAUAUUCCAAGUGAAGACACUGAUCCUUUUCUUCAGAUCCGAAUGUUAUGGUCAAAUUUUGCAAAUUUUCUAAAAGAUGUCUUUAUUAUCUCAUUUCUACUCGAUCCGGACCGAAGCCCAUUGCUCACUUAUCCCUGCGAUGCUCGUCAGUUUCUUUAAGACAUGAUGGCUCUCAAAUAAUCUUUAUCUGCUUGAAUCCUCAGGCAACAAAGCAAAGUCAUGUAUUCCUUCAUGAACUAUAAUUCUUCUCUUGUUGUUUACUCGGACCAUAUUUGGACGGCCGUAUUAUAAUCUACUUUAUUAAGAAAUCCAUUUUCCCAUGACAAACUUUUCUAUUUAGCAAUCGAAUAUGAAUCAACACCUUCUUUCUAUGAUGAAAAUGCAAUGCAAUCAAAACAAAAGAAAACAUGUUAGCACAAGAGAAAUAAACAAAAUAGAAUACCUAUCCGGGUGACCACUAGGGGUUUGUAGUGGCUCUACCUAGGGUGGGCUCUUAAGGCUCGCUAUAUGGGGUUUGGUUCUAAAAUAAAGGGGUACCUGAACCAACAGAUUCCUCAAUCUUCACUCAUUAUAGGCUCAUAUGGAUCGAGUUCAGUUCAGGGGAAUACAUUUCCCUAUGGCCCUGUGAAGAUGAAAAUCUCACGAAAACAUAGGUACGGAUGUAUCCUGAAAGCAGUCUACUAGCCCAUGCGGAGGUGAAAACCUCACGAAGGCAUAAUUUCCCACUCCCACCUAAAAGGAUAAGAUCGACUGAUCAUGCAAUGCAAUAUGCAGAAAUAUGCCUAAACUCAAACCAACACAACAAUUAUAAACCGCAAUGACAAGGAUCGUAACAAAGACGAAUAAAAAUGCAAUGAAAGGAUUUCUUACGAUAAAAAUGCAAUGUGAUCGAAGCAAAAUCAAACGCAUCAACACAGAAGAAAUAAAAACAAAAUAGAGCACCUAUCUGGGUGACCACUAGGAUUUGGUGUGCCUCUACUUAGGGUAAGCUCCUAGGGCUCUCUAUAUGCAGUUCGGUUCUAAAGUAAAAGGUACCCGAACCUGUAGAUUCCUCGAUCCUCAUCCACUAUAGGCUCAUAUGGACCGAGUUCAGUUCAGAGGAAUACAUUUCCCUAUGGUUGCACUGAGAUGAAAAUUUUACGAAGACAUAGGUACAGAUGUAUCCCGAAAGCGAUCCACUAUUAUACACAGAGGUGAAGACCUCACAAAGGAAUAGUUUCUCACUCUCACUUAAAGGGUGUAACCGUGCAGUCAUGCAAUGCAAUGUGCAGGAAUAUACAAAAAACCUCGAAGCAAAUAAAGAAAAUAUGAAUAAAAUGACGAAGAUCAUAACACAAAACGGAUGAAAUGCAAUGAAAGGAUCAUAUAUCAAAACCAAAUUUCAAUUUUCGACAAAAAGACAAAAGUUAAUCAACUUGUUGCUUGACUCUCUUAUUUGAUUCCACAGCGGAGUCGACUUGAUUUUGAAAAUGAAAACGAAAAAAGACGGGAGUCGCCACCGAUCUUUAGUAGGUGUGAUCGAUCACCUCGUAAUUUGAUUGUUUUAAAAUGUUUUUUUUUACUAAAACAACGAUUUUGGUCUACAAAAAUUAAAAAAAUGGGUUUGGGAGUCGGUUACAUAUGAGGAAGGAUUAGCACCCUCGUAACGCCCAAAAUUUGUACCAAAUUGAUUAAUUAAUGUCUUAAUGUCGAAAAUUGAAAUUUUGAAAAGAUUUUAAAAUACGAUCCCUUGUUUAUUAAUGUUAAUUUUACAAAAAUAUUUGAAUAAAUCAAAGCGGAUGCUAAAGACCGUCUUAUCCUGAAGUAAUAAAAUGUCACAUCCAGCACGUUAGGACAUGAUAGUUUAAACCCCCGAAAAGAAGCUUGCCUUUUGAUUUUCAAAGCUCACGCAUUUUAAUUUUAACGCCCAAAAUUUGUACCAAAUUGAUUAAUUAAUGUCUUAAUGUCGAAAAUUGAAAUUUUGAAAAGAUUUUAAAAUACGAUCCCUUGUUUAUUAAUGUUAAUUUUACAAAAAUAUUUGAAUAAAUCAAAGCGGAUGCUAAAGACCGUCUUAUCCUGAAGUAAUAAAAUGUCACAUCCAGCACGUUAGGACAUGAUAGUUUAAACCCCCGAAAAGAAGCUUGCCUUUUGAUUUUCAAAGCUCACGCAUUUUAAUUUUAAAAGGAUAUUCGAUUAUUUCGGUUAAACGAGAAAAAUUGAAACCCAGUAAGUUAGGGCACAAUUCCUCGAGUUUCCAAAUACAGAUCAUUGCCUUAAUUUUUAAAUUUUUCCGAAUGAGUACACAUGUAAUGUUUAAAACUAUGCAUAUUUAUUUUAUUUGAAUUAUAGUGUAAAGAAUGGACAUUUAAGCACGGCUCGUGACAUAAUUGGAAUAGUAGUAGAAUGAUAACACGAAUAAACGAAAUGACGAUACAUCUAUAAUGAUGAGACAACAAAUAAGCAAUGACAAUGAUCAAUUAAAUCUAAUGUUAAUUAAGUAAUAAUGGUAAUAAAAAUGAAGUACAAUGGUGAUAAGAAAAUAGGUGAAAUGCAUAUACAUGAAGUUAAAGUUAAGUGUUUGAAAAUGAAAGAAUGAAAAAUAAAGAAAUUAGUAUAAGCAAAUAUAAGACUAGGUAAAAAAUGAACAUAAAAUACUAAUAACAGUAAUAAUAGUAAAAAUAAUAAAUAUAAAUAAUAUAAAAUUUGAAAGUAUAAAAAAAAUAUAAACAAAUAGAUAAUGAAAAUGAUAAUAAUAAGGGUAAAAAUAGAAAUAAAACCAAUCUAUAAAAAAUAAUAAUAAAUAAAUAAACAAACAAAUAAAUAUUAAAUAUUGACUAAAUCAGUUUAAUAGUAUAACAAUAAUAAUAAUAGCAAUGAUAAUAAUAAUUUUGGUAAUAAAUAAUAAUAAUAAUAAUAUAAAAAUAAUAAUAGUAAUAAUAGAUUAAUUAAUAAUGUAAUAAUAAGUAAAUAAACACAAAAAAGAAAAUAUGGUUAUAAUAGUGAUAAUAAUACAAAGUUACUAAUAUAAUAAUAUAAUAAUAGUAGCAAAUAAAUAAACAUAAAAAUAAAAUAUAAUUAUAGUAACAAUAUUAUUAAAUUAGUUAAUAAAAUAGCAAAAAGAACAAAAAGGGACCAAUUUGAACUUAAGACAGAAAUUCGGGGAAAAUAAAUAAAAGGAAAAAGGGGCGGGGACCGGUCUGAACACACGCAUGACAUAGAGGGGCUAAAAAGAAAAUUUUCCCUCUUCCUCUAAAACGGCGUCGUUCAUAUAAGGAUCGAAUUGAAACAAAGUUAAAAUUAAAAGACAGAAAUUAAAAAAAGGAAAAGACUGGAUUAAAACAUAAUAGAAAUGCGGAAGGACCGCGCGCGCAAUUAUCCCAUUUACAGCGAAAACACGCGGAUCCUUGGGUAUCGGGUCAGGUUGCGCACAGGUCAAGUGAAACGACACCGUUUUGGCGUUCAGACCCUAGGCACAAAACGGUGCCGUUUUACCCUCCUAUAAAAGCUAAGUUUUGUUUUUAAAAUCUCAUUUUUUCCACAUUCUUUCAAAAAAAAUGAGAGAGAUGCCUCUCAACUCUCUCAUCCCUCCCUAAAUAUGGCCAUCAAAUCUGGCGAGAUCCACGGUGGCCACCGGUCGCCGGCGAUGAGCUCCACCUUGCCUGGUGGCCAGAAAUCGCAAAAAAGGCCUCCUUUCUGACUCUAUGCCUAGAUCUAAGGGUGAAAACCCUAAAAAUGGAGAAAACGCUCGACCACACCCCUCGUAAUCCCUCGUAAAUCUGUCUUGACACUCGAACGAGACUCCGAAGAGCUUCUGGGGUUUUCACAUCGAAGAAAUACUCUGAUGGAGGCCGAGUACAAAGGGAAUCGGUGAGUCCUUUGUUAACUCUUUUCUUUUUUUUUUUAAAAUGUAUGUGACGGAAACAACAAAAAUAGGGGAAAAGGAAUCACCUUUUUUUGACUUGUAAAUCUUUCUCUUUUUUUAUUCGUAAAAAAAAGUUACAUUCAUGAUUCAGGGCUUUAUAGCCGAAUACAAAAGGUUUUUAGUCCACUGUUUCUAUUACUACUCUUUGUUGUUUUUGCUGUCCUCUUUUGUGCUUGUUUGCAGGCGUUGACGAAGGAGAGAAGUGAUGGGACGGGGCAGAGGUGUUGGUGGUAGCAGACCUCAGGCGUUGGAGGCACUGACAAUGCACGUGGGGGGUGCAGAGAGGCGCGGCGCCUAAGGUUGCAGAAACCCUAGGGUUUCUAAUUUGGUUUAGGUUCUUGGGCCUUUUCGGCCCCAUAGGUUUGGGCUUAAUUUUGUAAUUGGGUUGUUUUAAUUUUUAUUUGGGCUAUGUCUAAUGGACUGUUUGAUAUAUUGUACCGGGGCCGGGAAAAAUAGGCCUAUUACAAAUUCUAUCCGAAAAAAAUUCAAAUUCAAA